ensembl:lncRNA
UGUUGAUGAUGAAAUGGAACUAACAAGAUGCAACACGAUUGCAUUUGACUCAAAAAACACAUUGGCAGAAAAUGCUAUAGAGAUCAAAGCAAAUGAAAGUGCACUUUGGGCAUCAACAUCUGUUUCUAGAUGCACAGUGUCAAGUGAAGAACAAAAUGAGGUGAGUGAAGCUGCCAAGUGUGCUAUUAACCAUGUCUUUCCCUCAAGACAUGUUUUUGAUCUUGAUGGCAAAAACCUUAAACACAACAACACAGAGGCAAUAUCCUAUGGUGCAGCUAACAUGCAAGUGGACAGAAAUUGCGAAAUGGUGCAUCUAAGCGAUGUGAUGACGACUGAUGAAGACAGCAACAUGCAGGUUACAAAUGUCCUUACAGUGCCCAUUGAAACUGAGAAAAGUGUUUCAUUUAACGAGAAAGAAGAAGCAAAUAUUAAGACUUUCUGUGGCUCUAGAAAUAAAGAGGCAGGUCAAGCACUUUGGCCUAAAAAGGAGCAGAGUACAAGCUCAGUCCAACUUGAAGAUUCCUCCUCAAAUCAGUCUCUUGUUGAUUCCUUUAUUAAAGAAGAACUGCAGCAUGCAAAAGCAAGACGGAGAAGUCUAGCAGACUUUCAAAUGGAGCUUCACAGCAUGUCACAACGUAUCCAGGAAGAGCAAAAAGUGGUGAUGGGAAGCACAACUGCACCUCUGGCUUCUUGUUCCCUCCCAGAGACUUCCCUUAAAGAGCAGUGUGAAAUGAAAAUUUCCAGUGAGCCAACUUCAAAUGUCACCCCUAACAUCAAGCAGCAAAAUAAGUCUGUUCAAAAUGAGAAGACCACACCUUUUAGUCUUAAAAAGAAUGCAUUCUCAUCAAGGUUGUCAUUGGGUGGUAUUGUACCAAAACUACCGAAACGAGCUACAACUGUAACUCCUAACAAAACUGUGACCAUAAGUACUAAUGAUUUACAAUGUCUCCAGCUAGAGAAACAUUUUGACGUUGAUGAACAAAAUAGCAACUGCAGAACAGUCAAUAUUAAUGAGGAAGAGUUCCCUGAAAUGAGCAGUGAAGAAGACUUGUCAGGGAGUCUUGAAAAUU